UUUAACCAAAUGAUGAAUAAAAAUGCAUAGUUCAUAUGAUAGCCUUUCUGGUUACCUGUGAUUACUAUUUGUCUUUCGCUCCUAUCUGAUGGUUAAA
rnacentral:snoRNA from 1 species